rnacentral:lncRNA from 7 species
ACUUUUCCUUCUCUGCUCUGUGCAGGGAUAGAAGCAAGGCUGCAGCACUUAAGGCCUUGGCACCGUCAUCUCGGUGAGGAUUUGGAGGCACUCCAGGAGGCCCAAGGAACCCACACCCUGUGCCAAGAACUUGAGGCUGGGAGUGCAUGGAGCUGCUCAGGAGGCUGGAUGAUUUAAGGAGCCUUGUUUUCCCGGAAAACACUUCCAUUUUCUGAUAUCUGCAAAAAGACAAAGAAUGAAUCAUCAAUGAACUCAAAGGAAAAUCUGCUGUGGUGUUUGAGUCCAUCAGUUAAGGGCUGUGAAGGCUCUUCACUCACCUUGUUUAUCUUGGAAAGUCUUCAGGAUUGAAAGAAGCAAUACUCUGCAUGUGAAACUGGAACUCCAGAUGGGAGAGGGUUCUGUCUGCAAAUCAUGGAGAGUCAUAGCAUCCACUCUUUCCCCAUAAUUCUGAGAAAAGCAACGCAGGAAAACCCAUAAUGAAGAAACAGGUUGGUGUUAGUAUUCCACCGAUAAACAACAGAGAAGCUACGGCUUAAAACCACCCCAUAUCCAUGCAGUGUUAAUGGUUGAAGACAGAAGCAGCAAGGCUACAAAAUCAAAGAAAGGAUUUGGACAUGGUGGAAGCUACAGCAUCAAGGAGGAUUAGCAUUUGGACAAGCUGCUGAUGUUCAGAAAAUCCCUCUUCAGAAGGAUGAGGCUUUGUGUCGGUGGGGAACGCGCUCCUCUCCUACUAGAACAAGGCAAACAUAUGUUCACCCACAGCAAUGACUGAACCUGCUUCAGAGAGGUUUGCUGCAGGGACUCCCACGGCUCUCAGCGGAUUGCGCUUUUCAAAUCCUACCAGACUCUUCUAACAGCUUUACUUUCAGCAGCAGCUUCUCAAAGGUUUCAUAAAAUAUUUGAAGAUAAAGCAGCUAUUUUGCGAAGGAGAUCUGUACAGUAGCAGCAUUGCUGGAUUCUGGGAAUUCCCCCAGAAGGAUGGCUAAAGUGAAGAGUAUCAUCAUCUCCGUAUGUAGCCUUUACAGUCAAGAGAGCGUUACCUGAAACCCAAGGGAAAAAUACAUGCUGUUCCUCCAAACCUGAUUAUCUUUGAACACAAACCAGACACUUAUUGGCUGCCUGUAACUGCAGUUAAAAAGCAUACCUCUGGUUUAAAUAGUCCUUGAAUGUAAGUUGAGGAGAUGAUUUCAGACCUUCCAAGGCAGAUGGAAUCCUGGUAAGCGCAGAAGUUUAUGGGGCUCAGGGAUGUGCUACAGCGCCAUACGAAAAUGAAGAAACGAAUGCAUAAAUAAAUAAAAAUGUGGCUCCAGUUCAGGCAAUACUUUAAAACAAGAUGUUUGGAAGUAGGAAGAUGGUCAGGAAUUAGCUCUAGCUUACUUGUACAUAUGGGGAGCGUGUGAGAGGGCGAGGUCCUCAGAGAACUCUAGCUGCUGCUGAGGGAGCCACGCAGACCAGGGCUAUGGUAGAUAGUAGAGGUACUGCUGCUCUCUAGGGGUUAGAGCCCAGCUCAGAGCUUCAGACCAGUAGGCUCUGCCUAGACAUAGCCUAGAGGGUGGAGCCUUCUUCUGAGGCUCAGCACCCAGCUGGGCAGGGAAUGAGAGUCGUGUGGCUGUGGUGCCCUCCAAAACAGCUGGUUUGCCUGGUGUUAUAGCACUUGUGUUAUAGCACUUUCCUCCGGGGAGGAAAAUCUGGUUUCUGUUUUUGCCUGAAGAGGUUCUUGGCAUUCCCUCCUGGACAUCCUCUCCUGCUUUGAAGCGUACCCCAUUAUCUAACUUGGGGUGACCAGUUCUGGAGCAUAUCAGGGAGGUUAUGGAGUAGAAGUUGUCUGCAGAGAAGGCACUGAGGGGCACACCUACUUAGUCCAGAGGUAGUUGGCCAAGCCUGCAGCUGCUGAGGUCUUCAGGUGUGCUACGAAUAUGAUAAGCAAGAAAUGAAACCAACAGUUUGCUACUCCUCACGUUUCCCCAGAGCUACGUGUUUAAGUGUAUCUUGCCCGAGCAAUCAGAAGUAGAAAAGAAAAUAAAAAACACCUAACAUUCUGG